UACGGGGGGGGCAAGCGUUGUUCGGAAUUACUGGGCGUAAGGGCGCGUAGGCGGUGCUCUAAGUCGGAUGUGAAAACUCUGGGCUCAACCCAGAGCCUGCAUCCGAAACUGGAGUGCUAGAGUUCUGGAGGGGGUAGCGGAAUUCCUGGUGUAGCGGUGAAAUGCGUAGAUAUCGGGAGGAACACCAAUAGCGAAGGCAGCUCGCUGGGACGUGACUGACGCUGAGACGCGAAAGCGUGGGGAGCAAACAGG
rnacentral:rRNA from 1 species